rfam:Salmo salar isolate Sally breed double haploid chromosome ssa24, whole genome shotgun sequence.
UGCAUUCACUACUGUAAGUCGCUCUGGAUACGAGCGUCUGCUAAAUUAUGUAAA